rnacentral:lncRNA from 1 species
CUCCGCGCCCGAUGUGGGGCUUGAACUUGGGAUGCUGAGAUUGAGAAUUCUAUGCUCUACCAACUGAGUGAGCCAGGUGCCCCUGGAGUUUGCACGUGAUGCGGAUGCUUCUGGUCCAGGCACCACACUUGAAGGGUCACUGAUCUGUAAGACUCUUCCUGGGUGUUUCCCUGUAAGACUCUCCCUGGAUCCAUCCUGGGAUAC